UACGUAGGGUGCGAGCGUUGUCCGGAAUUAUUGGGCGUAAAGAGCUCGUAGGCGGUGUGUCGCGUCGGCCGUGAAAACCUGCAGCUUAACUGUGGGCUUGCGGUCGAUACGGGCAUCACUGGAGUUCGGCAGGGGAGACUGGAAUUCCUGGUGUAGCGGUGAAAUGCGCAGAUAUCAGGAGGAACACCGGUGGCGAAGGCGGGUCUCUGGGCAGUAACUGACGCUGAGACGCGAAAGCGUGGGGAGCAAACAGG
rnacentral:rRNA from 1 species